CUAGAGUGGUACAUUCAUGAUUUCUCAAAUCAUAUGUACCUAUACUCGUACCAAUAAGUAAGUAUGUAACUUUCAAUACAUUUUUUCAGAGUUCAUCGCAUACUUAUCUAGAUGAUUUGAACUUUGAUGAUUAAUAUUGCUUCACUAUCAUUCUCGAUAACAUAUUUGCAAGAUAGGUACCUAAUUCAUUAUUCUGUGAUUUUCACUUAUUGAUUAAUGUUAAUAACCGAGAGUAUUUUUUGUCAUCUACUUCGAGUGUGUUUCAACUGCUAUCUCUCCCUUCUUCCCUCGAAACGAAAAUGAAAUUUAUCCACUUAUGUAUAUUUUUCAUGAUUAUGAUGAUUGCCUGUGUCAAAGCUCAGAUGCGACCAGUUCCUUAUCGAAAACCUCCGCCACCGCCGCCGCCUCCACGAAGGCAAACAGACCCAAUUCCGAGACGAACACAAGCAACUAUACCAUCAUAGGAAUAUGUGUCUAUCAACAAUAUUUUACGAUACUUGAUAAUUAUUCGUAUAUUUUAAUUUUUCAUAAUACGCAGGGAUGAAGCGAAGCUGGGGCUAAGGGAGCGAGCUCCCCCCCCCCUCCAGCACUAAGAGAACUUAUGUUCUUUUUUAACCCUCGAAGUCGUUGAUUAUUCGGCAUGAAAAUUUUUUAAAUGCACUAAAUAUAAUUUUUUGUUGAUG